UACGGGGGGAGCAAGCGUUGUUCGGAUUUACUGGGCGUAAAGGGCGCGUAGGCGGUCAGCACAAGUCAGUUGUGAAAUCUCCGGGCUUAACUCGGAAAGGUCAACUGAUACUGUGCGAACUAGAGUGCAGAAGGGGCAACUGGAAUUCUCGGUGUAGCGGUGAAAUGCGUAGAUAUCGAGAGGAACACCUGCGGCGAAGGCGGGUUGCUGGGCUGACACUGACGCUGAUGCGCGAAAGCCAGGGGAGCGAACGGG
rnacentral:rRNA from 1 species